AACGCAAAUUGCGCUCGAGGCUUCGGCCAAGAGCAUGUCUGUCUCAGCGUCGGGUAAAUACUCGCUCCAAAACACACCCAUUUGGGCUGUGCUGACGAGCGGACCUGACGAUCCCAACACAUGUCACAGUGUGGUGGGUCUGUUGAAGUGUGUAGCUGUUGGUACACGGACCCGUUCAUGGGCCUCUACUGGGUAGGCAAUCUCAUUGCUACAUGCUUUAGUAGAUGGCUUAGGAUCUGUGUGCUGGCAAACCAGGAAUACAUGUCUUGACAUGUAUACACAUACACUUUUUCCUCGACCUGAGCUCAGGCAAGAUUACCCGCUGAACUUAA
rnacentral:misc_RNA from 1 species